UUGUAAAGUGCUAUGACAACAGGGCGGAGAUGGCUUGGAGUUAGGCUUGAGUAGGUGUCCCUUCCGCCGCUGCUGUCCUUUUUCUGCUACAUCCCACUCACUGCCUCCUUCAUUAUUUCCUCCUCUUUGUGAGCAGCAGGUCUUACCGCUGUUCUUUCCUGCCUGAUAUCUGCCACGGGAUUGAUGCCGUUUUUCCUGCUUGUCUCAGCGUGACAGAGAGGGGAUGCAGGAGAGCUACUUGGUGGGAUCGCUCAAGCUCUGUGGAGCUGGUGGUGCCAACUGGUGAGGCGCUGUCUUUGCCUGGGACGUGAAACAAGUUGGAUCAGGAGAACGAGAGGGAGAAGUAAGGGUUGCUUUUUCCUGCACCGUCCGUUCUUGCUCGUCGUUCCAGCCCUGGAAUCCUGGCCGACGUUCUUAAAGAGAAAUCGGUGGAAGGAGAGUUCGAAGAAAGGUGGGGCAGGACCCACCUGACUCGGCAUCAGAGUGAGCGAAAAUGUCUUUAUUUAAAGCCCGUGAUUGGUGGUCUACUGUUCUGGGAGAAAAAGAAGAAUUUGAUCAAGGCUGUUUGUGUUUGGCUGAUGUUGACAAUACUGGAAAUGGACAAGAUAAAGUAAUUGUGGGUAGCUUUAUGGGAUACCUAAGGAUCUUUAAUCCUCAUCCUGUAAAAACAGGAGAUGGAGCUCAAGCUGAAGAUUUGCUUCUAGAAGUGCAUCUACGAGAUCCAAUACUGCAAGUGGAAGUAGGAAAGUUUGUUUCAGGUACUGAAAUGCUUCAUUUGGCUGUGUUGCAUUCUAGAAAACUGUGUGUCUACUCUGUCUCAGGAAGCUUGGGUAAUGUGGAACAUGGGACCCAAUAUCAGAUCAAAUUGAUGUAUGAACAUAAUCUUCAGAGAACAGCCUGCAAUAUGACUUAUGGAUCAUUUGGUGGUGUAAAAGGUCGCGAUUUAAUUUGUAUCCAGUCUAUGGAUGGAAUGCUGAUGGUGUUUGAGCAGGAAAGCUAUGCUUUUGGGAGAUUUCUCCCUGGUUCUCUUUUACCUGGCCCUCUUGCUUACAGUUCCCGUACAGAUUCCUUCAUUACUGUUUCAUCCUGCCGACAAGUGGAAAGUUACAAAUACCAAGUACUUGCUUUUGCAACGGAUGCAGAUAAAAGACAAGAGACUGAACAGCAAAAACUUGGUUCUGGAAAAAGACUAGUUGUGGAUUGGACUCUAAAUAUUGGAGAGCAAGCCCUUGAUAUAUGUAUUGUCUCUUUCAAUCAGUCAGCAUCUUCUGUUUUUGUUCUUGGUGAGAGAAACUUUUUUUGCCUUAAGGAUAAUGGACAAAUUCGAUUUAUGAAGAAACUUGAUUGUAGCCCAAGUUGUUUUCUCCCAUAUUGCUCAGUUUCUGAAGGAACAAUAAAUACGUUGAUUGGAAACCAUAGUAACAUGUUGCAUGUUUAUCAGGAUGUGACAUUGAAGUGGGCCACUCAACUUCCCCACAUUCCUGUAGCAGUAAGAGUGGGCUGUUUACAUGAUUUAAAGGGAGUGAUAGUCACUCUGAGUGAUGAUGGUCACUUGCAGUGUUCAUACCUGGGGACAGACCCUUCUUUGUUCCAAGCUCCAAAAGUUGAAUCUAGAGAACUAAACUAUGAUGAACUUGAUAUAGAAUUGAAAGAACUUCAGAAAAUCAUCAAAGAUGUUAACAAAUCACAAGGUGUUUGGCCUAUGACCGAGAGAGAAGAUGACCUGAAAGUCUCUGCCAUGGUUUCUCCUAACUUUGAUUCAGUAUCUCAAUCUACUGAUGUUGAAGUGGGAGCUGACCUUGUCCCUUCAGUCACAGUGAAGGUCACACUGCAGAAUCGAGUGACAUUGCAAAAGAUCAGAUUAUCGGUCUAUGUACAACCACCUUUAGUAUUGACUUGUGAUCAGUUCACCUUUGAAUUUAUGGCACCGGAGAUGACUAGAACAGUGGGCUUUUCCGUUUAUCUGAAAGGAAGUUGUUUACCACCUGAAUUGGAAGGAAAUACUGUUGUUUCUUAUUCCAGACCUACAGAUCGAAAUCCUGAGGGCAUUCCUCGAGUUAGCCAAUGUAAGUUUAGACUUCCCCUGAAAUUAAUCUGCUUGCCAGGCCAGCCUUCAAAAACUGCAAGCCACAAACUAACUAUUGAUACCAACAAAUCUCCAGUCAGUCUUCUCAGUCUCUUUCCAGGCUUUGCCAAUCAGUCAGAAGAUGAUCAGGUGAAUGUAAUGGGUUUUCGCUUCUUAGGAGGUUCCCGAGUUACUCUUCUCGCUUCCAAAACCUCUCAACGAUAUCGCAUCCAGAGUGAACAAUUUGAGGAUCUUUGGCUCAUAACAAAUGAGCUUAUUAUCCGCCUUCAGGAAUAUUUUGAAAAACAGGGAAUCAAAGAUUUCGCAUGUUCUUUUUCUGGAUCUAUGCCCCUUCAAGAAUAUUUUGAGUUGAUCGAUCAUCAUUUUGAGUUGCGGACAAAUGGUGAAAAAUUAGAAGAACUCUUAUCUGAAAGAGCUGUACAAUUUCGGGCCAUUCAACGCCGGCUGUUAACAAGGUUCAAAGAUAAAACACCUGCUCCUCUCCAACACCUGGACACCUUGCUAGAUGGAACUUACAAGCAGGUAAUCGCUCUAGCAGAUGCAGUAGAGGAAAACCAAGACAAUCUGUUCCAGUCAUUCACCAGGCUGAAAAGUGCCACCCAUUUGGUGAUUCUGCUGAUCGGGCUGUGGCAGAAGCUUAGCGCCGACCAGAUUGCUAUCCUGGAAGCAGCAUUUCUGCCACUGCAGCAGGACACUCAAGAACUGGGCUGGGAAGAAACGGUGGAUGCUGCUAUUUCCCACCUUUUGAAGACCUGCCUAUCGAAGAGUUCCAAGGAGCAGGCUUUGAACCUCAGCAGCCAGUUGAGCACACCCAAAGACACAAGCCGAUUGAAGAAACAUAUCACCUUGCUGUGCGAUCGAUUAGCCAAAGGUGGACGUCUCUGCCUAAGUACUGACGCAGCGGCUCCGCAGACCAUGGUCAUGCCAGGUGGCUGUGCUACGAUCCCUGAAUCAGACCUAGAGGAAAGAUCAGUAGAACAAGACUCCAGUGAACUGUUUACCAACCACAAACACCUCAUCGUGGAGACGCCCAUGCCUGAAGUUUCACCCCUCCAAGGAGUUUCAGAAUAGUUGAAGUAGAGUUGUCUGGUUGAGGGGAAGAUGGCCUUCCCAAGGCUGAUCAUGUGUGGACCUCAUGCCAAGCACAGAUGAAGGUGCUUCAUACAGCUCACCUGCCAGGAGAUAAAAAUAGGAGACGCAGCAGAAGAUUAAGUAGUUUUCAUUGUCAAGUAUGGGAGUGGACAACUUCUAGCCUUUGGGCCAGAAUCAACCAUUAGGUUAAUGUUACCCAGCCUGUGGGGACCAGUAAAAGAUGUCUUGGCUCUGUGUAUGCCUAAAGAUGCAAAACCACAACGCUUCUGAUCAUCUUUAACAGCUUCAUUGAAGAAAGGUAAAUUAUGGAAGCUAUGUGGACAUCGCAUGUGUUAAGAGUUUUGUUGAUUUGGACUUCAAAAGAUUGUGCUAAGAAGAGGCUGAUAUGACUCUCCAACUGUGUUUACUUAAAGUUGGCUUUAAAGAGAGGUGAGCCCAGUGUCAUUCCUGAGUACAGUUCAAGAGGAAACCAGUUUAUUUCUAAGUUUCGCAAGCUGGCAUUUUUGUGGGUGGUUGUGUGAUGUCUCUGAGUGACAGAGCCCUGGAAAUACAAAGGUUACUGCUACUGCUGUUUCAUCUCCAGGAUACCAAACACCAAAGCUGCAUCAAGGACUUGAACUGAGGCAGUACCAAAGGA